CCGGCUAAUUUUUUUGUAUUUUUAGUAGAGACGGGGGUUUCACUGCAUUAGCCAGGAUGGUCUCGAUCUCCUGACCUCGUGAUCUGCCCGCCUCGGCCUCCCAAAGUGCUGGGAUUACAGGCGUGAGCCACUGUGCCCGGCCUCUUCAUUUGUUUUUAAGACAAAAUAUUGAUCUUGAAUAUCAGCUGUUAAUACAAGCAGAUUCAUGGACCUGUGAUAGCAGGUAUGAAAGCAUCGAGCACAGCACUUGGCUCUUAACCAGGAGCUGAAGACUUGCUUCUCCCUUUCCUUUCUUCCCGUGACCUCUUCUGACAUGUCCAGUUCGAAAUUGCAAUUUUUCUAACUUUGAGAUUUAAGAAAUUUUCUUAAACUUUAUAAAAGAACAAAUACAGACAACUGAAAACAAAUUAACGCUUGGCUUUUUUUUUUUUUUUUUUUUUGAGACAGUGUCUCACUCUGCUGCCCAGGCUUGCCUAGGCUGAAGUGCAGUGGCGCGAUCUCGGCACACUGCAACCUCCGCCUCCCAGGUUCAAGUGAUUCUCCUGCCUCAGCCGCCUGAGUAGCUGGGAUUACAGGCAUGCGCCGCCAUGCCCAGCUAAUUGUUGUAUUUUUAGUAGAGACGGGGUUUUUCCGUGUUGGCCAGGCUGUUCUCAAACUCCUGACCUCAGGUGAUCUGCUCGCCUCGGCCUUCCAAAGUGCUGGGGUUACAGGCAUGAGCCACCGCCCCUGGCCUAACACUUGACUUUUAAGGGGCCAAUAUCACUGUGAUUCUAAAAUUUAAGGAGAUGUUAAUGCCGGCCUCUGCAACUACACUUGGAAGAUCCUUCCCAGCAACUGACAACUUGGCCCCUCCACCCCUCCUUCCAGACCUUCCGUGGACACCCUUAAUCACUGCAAGAGCAGCCUGUGCCGUGCUUGGUGAGAUGGUAAUUUUUUUAAUCCUACAUGUCUUCAUAUUAUUUUUAUGCCCUGUUUCAAAAGUUUUUAAACGAGGUUGGUAGCUAACAUUCUGAGCUAUCAUUCAUUCCGUGGCAAAAUAAUAAUUGCUAAUUUUCUUCUUCAGAGAACCAGAGCUUUAUCAGGAAUAACAUUAUGCAAAUCACUAUGCAAAUGCCAACCAGAAAAGUACAGUAUCUGGAAAAAAAGUUCAGAUAAAACCUUCAGAACACAUCCUAAGUUGGCUGGAAAAAAGAACUGAACAUUUUAAACUAUAAGGUCACCAUGGUAGCAAAGGGAAUUUAUUACUAAUAAGAAUUUUGCAAGAAAGCUCUGCACUUAAAAUAAAAGAGGUAGGGCAUGCCUUCAUAUUUAUUCUAGCUUAAUUUAUUUAUGACAUUAUGGUUGUCUUUGCCAACUGUUAAGUCCCCUUGGGGUGGGACUCUUCGUUGUUUGUG
rnacentral:lncRNA from 10 species